GCCUGGGUGGCUCAGUCGGUUAAGCAUCUGACUUCGGCUCAGGUCAUCGCCGUCUGUGGGUUUGAGCCCCGCAUCGGGCU
rnacentral:tRNA from 1 species